rnacentral:lncRNA from 1 species
GCUAUUUGAUGCGAGAGAUCAUAACUGGGAGAGAGAGUGUAAAAGAAAUUCAGUCCUUUGUUAUUCUUAACGAUUAUUCUUUGUCUUUGUUCCCUGAUCCUUGUUGGAUGUCCACCGACAGGACGGGACAUACAAUCACUCUUCUCUGCUACAUUUUUCUCAUCUGUCCAGAGUCUCAGAGCAGAUUCUUGGAGACAUCCAGUCUGUGUGGAGACCUCAGAGCAACUCAUGGACAUGUCUGGUCCAUUCGGUGACCGCUGUCGCUGUCUUACUAACUACUUACUUCCCCCCUUUUCAUUUUCCCUCAUUACAUGCCAUACUUCUCCUCUUUCCCCAUUUGCAUGUCACCUAGUUCUUUCCCGUUGAAACUGAUAGCUGUGUUUAUUUUCUUUAUUAAAUCACAGAGGACGGAGGAUCUCAGAUCUGUAGAAAUAAUAUUCAAGUGAGUCGUUUGUCAUGCAAAAGUGUCAUUUAUGACUAAGUACAAUACAGAGUGAUGCUUUCCAGAAGGUCCAAAUUCCAUGUCUUAACCCUCUUUGUUAUAUAAAA